AGGUCAAUGAUGAGAACAGUAAGUCAAGAACAGGUUGAUGACAUAAAAAUCAUGCUCAGUAUGAACACACUGAGGCCC
ensembl:snoRNA LOC120100284 small nucleolar RNA SNORD115